rnacentral:rRNA from 1 species
AUUGAACGCUGGCGGAAUGCUUUACACAUGCAAGUCGAACGGCAGCACGGGGGCAACCCUGGUGGCGAGUGGCGAACGGGUGAGUAAUACAUCGGAACGUGCCCGGUCGUGGGGGAUAACGUAGCGAAAGUUACGCUAAUACCGCAUACGAUCUGAGGAUGAAAGCGGGGGACCUUCGGGCCUCGCGCGAUCGGAGCGGCCGAUGUCAGAUUAGGUAGUUGGUGGGGUAAAGGCCUACCAAGCCGACGAUCUAUAGCUGGUCUGAGAGGACGACCAGCCACACUGGGACUGAGACACGGCCCAGACUCCUACGGGAGGCAGCAGUGGGGAAUUUUGGACAAUGGGCGCAAGCCUGAUCCAGCCAUUCCGCGUGCAGGACGAAGGCCUUCGGGUUGUAAACUGCUUUUGUAUGGAACGAAAAGGCUCUGGCUAAUACCUGGGGCUCAUGACGGUACCGUAAGAAUAAGCACCGGCUAACUACGUG